rnacentral:rRNA from 1 species
UACGGGGGGGGCAAGCGUUGUUCGGAAUUACUGGGCGUAAAGGGCGCGUAGGCGGUCAGACCAAGUCGAGUGUGAAAUUCCAGGGCUUAACUCUGGCACGCUCGCUCGAUACUGGUCGGCUAGAGUGUGGAAGAGGAUGCUGGAAUUCCCGGUGUAGCGGUGAAAUGCGCAGAUAUCAGGAGGAACACCGAUGGCGAAGGCAGGUCUCUGGGCAUUAACUGACGCUGAGGAGCGAAAGCAUGGGGAGCGAACAGG